rfam:Picea glauca, whole genome shotgun sequence.
AUGUACAUGCCUACAACAUAACAUUAAUACACCAGAUCCCAUUAGAACUCUGCAGUUAAGCGCGGUUAGGCUAGAGUAGUACUGGGAUGGGUGACCAUUUGGGAAGCCAUAGUAUUGUACAUG